UCUCUGAUGGUCCAGUGGUUAGGAUCCAGCGCUUUCACUUCUGAGGGCCCAGAUUCAAUCCUGGGUCAGAGAA
rnacentral:tRNA from 1 species